rnacentral:misc_RNA from 1 species
GCCGAUCUACAGCGAAAUCAAUGGCGAGAUUCAACAUCUUCAUCCUCGUCGCCGCAGUUCUACUCCUAUUCGUUUCUGCUAAGAAAUCUCGGGAUGUGACGGAGCUCCAAGUGGGGGUGAAGUACAAGCCAGAGUCUUGCAGUAUUCAAGCUCAUAAAGGUGAUCAGAUCAAAGUUCACUAUCGGGGAACACUCACUGACGGAACAGUUUUCGACUCUAGCUAUGAGAGGGGCGAACCAAUUGAAUUUGGGCUUGGUAAUGGUCAGGUUAUCAAAGGAUGGGACCAAGGGCUACUCGGGAUGUGCGUUGGCGAGAAGCGGAAGCUAAGGAUUCCUUCAAAACUUGGCUAUGGAGACCAAGGAUCCCCUCCUAAAAUCCCAGGUGGUGCGACACUGAUCUUCGAAACAGAGCUUGUCGCUGUUAAUGGAAAGACUGGAGGGGAAUCGUCCGAUGCUGAUUCCGAUCUAUAGUUAUAGAGGAGGUUCGCAUCCAAACAAGCAUUCUAGUCUCCUUAGCUUUUAAGAUUUAGGAUUAGAGAUAUCCAAUAAUGUCUAAAUCUUGAAAGUUUUUGGUAUUUGAUAUCCAGGACUUAAGUUUUCUUUGCCAUUCCUUGGUUUCUGGAUGGUCUCACGGGCAUCAUCCCUGGG